ACAAACUAGAACUUGGGUCCAACUCUCAUCAGAACCUGUGCUGCUCUCUCGCCACCUCCAAGCCUCAGGCUUUGAAGAUGCUCGGUGAGGAAAGGAGCAGAGCAGUGGACGCCACUGGGGUGUGACAGGCAGCUGGGCAAGAAUCCAUCCAAGAAGUGCUGGCAUCGUGAAUCAUCUCCAGGUACCCCAGGUAGAUGUUGUCCGCUUCUAACACCAGCUCAGGUUUCGCACUGGUAUCUUUGCAGCCUAGUGAAGGUGACAUGAUGUUAACAAAGUGUGC